AAUUGUAACGGCUACCCAGCUGGAGAGGGGUAUCUGCCGUUGGAGACGUCCUUUUCUAGGCAAGCUGCUGUGAAGUAAUGGAGUUCUUAUUCCCAUCCACGAUAUCCAAGUGUAUAAUCCAGGAGUGCUGUAAAAUGAGGCAGAGUAACGGUACCAUAAAUCCCCUCCAAGAACGAGACGAGGCUACGUUUUGAAGGGUCAAGUAGAACUGAUGUUUAUUGACAGGGGGUCUCCUUUUAUGCAAUGGUGCCCUCUGAAAGGCUACACCCACAUAAUUAUCACAACAGCCAAUUACAUACAUGGUUCAACCCCCACGUCUCCUCCCCUCAGAAAACAUAUAACACAAUUAAAACAGACACAAUUUUAACUACAUUCUGGAUGUACCCCAAAAACAGGGGGUACACCUUUAAGUCCAUCACUGCUUAAUAGCUCUCACUCAGGGGAACAAUAUAUCCAAAUUUCAGUCCAUUCGGUUGAGGGGUUCGGGAGUUAUGGAUCUUUGAAGUUUUGACCGACCGCACAGGUUUUCCAGCCGAAAAGAGUUCCAUAAGUUUUGGCCUUGCGGUCGGUCUCCGUUCGUGCAUAAAAACCCCACAAACCCCUUGACAUCCACAGUCAUCCUGGUGUUCGCCUGAAUCCCCAUGAAUGCUUAAACAAAACUACCG